GCAAGAAAUGCAGUAUGGAUAGGUCCUUCUUCGUCUGUGAAAAUUCGUAACAUUUUUGCUCGCCAAUUUCGUCCGCCAUCUUGGACCUGUAAUCUGCCAGUCGUUAGUCCUCGCUUAAGGAUUCCUGUGGAUGUCCACGCAACAGCAGAUAACGACUGGAAAUAUGGGGUUUGGACACAGUCAAGUACAACGAGUUACGAGUUAUGCCGAUAUUAUAUUAUAUUAUUAUUAUUAGUUACGUGACCCGAUAGAGCAAGUUCAUACAAGAUUCUGUAAAUUAAUCCUACUGAACCUAGGCGUUAGCAGAAGAGCCACAAACAAAGCUUGCAGAUCAGAACUAGGACAAUUCCCACUUUUAGUCAAGAUAAAAGCUGUAUCAUUUUUGGGCACGGCUUCUGACACUUGACGAACACAGAAUAGCAAAACAAGCAUAUCUGGACCAAUUAAGUUUUACGAAUUCGCGGAACUGGGCAAUGGAAAUUUUACAAAUCACUUUUAUUUCAAAACGGUUAUGGCUACUGUUGAGAAUACCAAAGCGAUGCUACCUUAGACACCAAAUCAAUAAAACAACUUUAUAAAGAAUUCAAACAGAGAUUAGAAGAUAUCCUUUUCGACGAUAAUUCCAGACCAAUUGGAGGGAACAAACUAAAAACAUUAAAUAUCGUAGGGCACUAACAAAACUAAGAAUAAGCGACCACAUUCUACAAAUUGAACGAGGUCGCUACAAUUACUAGCCCCCCAAAAACACCAUAGCAUUGUAGCUAAAUACAUUUAUGACUGCUUUUUAAUUAGAAAAUCUUAUUUGUAAAUAUUAGAGAAUAAUGGCC